rnacentral:rRNA from 1 species
AAAACUCCCCUACAAACCAUCGCGAACGCUACCCCAGACGUCGUUGCUUCGGCGGGCCUGCCCGCCGGGGGGACGCCCACACAGGCUCUUUGCAGUUACCCGGCCUCUCUGAGUUUGAUUAUACCAAAUCAGUCAAAACUUUCAACAACGGAUCUCUUGGUUCUGGCAUCGAUGAAGAACGCAGCGAAAUGCGAUAAGUAAUGUGAAUUGCAGAAUUCAGUGAAUCAUCGAAUCUUUGAACGCACAUUGCGCCCGCCAGCACUCUGGCGGGCAUGCCUGUUCGAGCGUCAUUUCAACCCACCAAGCCCUGCUUGUGCUGGGGCCCUGCGGCUGCCCGCAGGCCCUGAAAACCAGUGGCGGGCUCGCUAGUCACACCGAGCGCAGUAGCACACUUCUCGCUCAGGGCGUGCGGCGGGCUCUUGCCGUGAAGCCCCCCCCAAACUCCAAAGGUUGACCUCGGAUCAGGUAGGAAUACCCGCUGAACUUAAGCAUAUCAAUAAGCGGAGGAAAAGAAACCAACAGGGAUUGCCCCAGUAACGGCGAGUGAAGCGGCAACAGCUCAAAUUUGAAAUCUGGCCCCCCGGCCCGAGUUGUAAUUUGUAGAGGAAGCUUUGGGCGCGGCACCUACCGAGUCCCCUGGAACGGGGCGCCGUAGAGGGUGAGAGCCCCGUAUGGUGGGAUGCCUAGCCUCUGUAAAGCUCCUUCGACGAGUCGAGUAGUUUGGGAAUGCUGCUCAAAAUGGGAGGUAAAUUUCUUCUAAAGCUAAAUACUGGCCAGAGACCGAUAGCGCACAAGUAGAGUGAUCGAAAGAUGAAAAGCACUUUGAAAAGAGGGUUAAACAGCACGUGAAAUUGUUGAAAGGGAAGCGCUUGUGACCAGACUUGCGCCCGGCGGAUCAUCCGGUGUUCUCACCGGUGCACUCCGCCGGGCUCAGGCCAGCAUCGGUCCUCGCGGGGGGAGAAGGGCCUGGGGAACGUAGCUCCUCCGGGAGUGUUAUAGCCCCUGGCGGCAUGCCCUCGCGGGGACCGA